rnacentral:lncRNA from 1 species
CACCUCGAAGAAAAGAGCGGAAGAAAAAAGCAAUCCACAUCAUAUUAUGAUUGCUUUCAUUAGUAUUUUUGUAUAGUUCAUUCAGGGGUUUUGGAGAUGGUGGAGCUCUACACGCUUCGACUUGAAGUCAAGAUAGAGAUUAUUGAGUUAUUAACUCCAAUUCAAAUAUCCAGACCUUUUUGUUGAGGUAGAGAUUUUAUGCCAUAUAUUUCCUAACUG